rnacentral:lncRNA from 1 species
CGCUAAAGAUAUAGCUUCACAAAAUAUUCAUAAAAUAUCUAAAUAUUCAUCUAAAUUUGUUGUUUGUUCUGCCCUUAGUUUUCUGGUGUUUAAAAGCCAUAUCAAGGUGUUGCUUCCUUCUUCCCUCCCACUGCCCGCCUACUCUUCGACAGUUAUACCAGAGACAGGGAAAAUCUCCCAAGAGGAAAAGGAGUUACAGAAGAGU